GUUGGAGAACAAUGCGAUGAAGAUGGAGGGAGAGAUGUUCGAUGAAGGUUCCCCGAUUCAGAAGUUUGUUGCACGGUUUGCUACAGAUUUGAAGUUGCAGCAAUCGAGAGAGAAAGAUGAAGAUUGAAGGAGAAUUGAUCGAUGGAGAUUCCAGAAGAAGAUUGAGCAAGAGAAAAAGUUUGUUACAGGUUUUUUCUGUCAAUUGGUGAAUGAAUGUUAUGGAGAUAGGCGAAAAGUUGUUGGUGAGAAAGAUGAAGAAGGUUGAAUUGAAGCGUUGAAGAAGAUGAUUCAGAGAGCGAGGUUCGGUUUUGUUCCAACGGGCUUUGGUUUAUUGUGUUGAAUUGAUACAAGCGGCGGGUCGGCCCUAUUGGUCAUCAAGACAUCAAUUGAAGAUACCACAAACCAUUUGAAGACUUGGACUUAUUUAAGUAAUAGCUUUGGAUGUUGAGUUCUUCGUGAAAUUUCCAUGGAAUGCAACAUGAUUAGAUUUGAAAUGAGUAUAUGAACAUUGCAUGGUCUUGAAGAAAUGUGGACAUUUGAGUUUUUUUGAAAUGAAUUUGUAAUGGUGUAAAGGAUAUUUUUGAAUGCUUAAAAAAACGAUGGUGAACAUCUUGAAUUCCAAUUAAUUUUGCACUUCAAAAAAUCCACAUGACCCUUCUUUCCAAAAUUAACACGCAUAAAUCCUGAUUCAAUCGAUUAAUCUUGAACACAAUUUGAAUUUAUGGUACCCCUUGAAUCAACACAAUUGUAUACCCCGUAUUUGCACAAGAAUGUGAAUUAAAACCUUGUACGCCAUCUUAGAUCCAAGUCCACUUAUAUUGCGAGCAACGAGUAACAAUGAUGAGAACAAAAACUUCUUUGAACAUAAUGAAUCUACAAAUUCAUCUCUCAUGUCAUGCCUCGCAUUAGUAUUUCAAUCUGACUUAACAAUAAAGCUCUGAGGAAUUCUUGAGGAAGAUAAGAAUUGAAGCACAU